CAGCAGCCACGGGAAUACGUAGGUGGCAAGCGUUGUCCGGAAUUAUUGGGCGUAAAGGGCUCGCAGGCGGUUUCUUAAGUCUGAUGUGAAAGCCCCCGGCUCAACCGGGGAGGGUCAUUGGAAACUGGGAAACUUGAGUGCAGAAGAGGAGAGUGGAAUUCCACGUGUAGCGGUGAAAUGCGUAGAGAUGUGGAGGAACACCAGUGGCGAAGGCGACUCUCUGGUCUGUAACUGACGCUGAGGAGCGAAAGCGUGGGGAGCGAACAGGAUUAGAUACCCGUGUAGUCCCUGUCUCUUAUAC
rnacentral:rRNA from 1 species